UGGGGAAUAUUGCACAAUGGGCGCAAGCCUGAUGCAGCAACGCCGCGUGAACGAUGAAGGUCUUCGGAUCGUAAAGUUCUGUUGCAGGGGAAGAUAAUGACGGUACCCUGUGAGGAAGCCCCGGCUAACUACGUGCCAGCAGCCGCGGUAAUACGUAGGGGGCUAGCGUUAUCCGGAUUUACUGGGCGUAAAGGGUGCGUAGGUGGUCCUUCAAGUCGGUGGUUAAAGGCUACGGCUCAACCGUAGUAAGCCGCCGAAACUGGAGGACUUGAGUGCAGGAGAGGAAAGUGGAAUUCCCAGUGUAACGGUGAAAUGCGUAGAUAUUGGGAGGAACACCAGUAGCGAAGGCGGCUUUCUGGACUGCAACUGACACUGAGGCACGAAAGCGGGGGUAGCAAACAGG
rnacentral:rRNA from 1 species